CAGACCAGCCCUGCUGAGACCCACCUCUAGGAGGUUCUAACCCACACAUCAGCGCUGGAGCCUCCAUAGGUGGACUCGGUGUUGCCAUGGCGGUAGUGACAGGAGCCAGGGUUGGUUUCUUUGUGGUGGUGUCAGGUGUUCAGGGGCGAGCUGUUGUUGUAGUUGGGGGUUCGGUGUCAGCAUCAGGAGCUUUUGUAGGUUUAUGUGUAGUUUAUGUGUAGUGGUGGUGUAGUUUAUGUGUAGUUUAGGUGUAGUGGUGGUGUAGUGGUGGUGUAGUUUAGGUGUAGUGGUGGUUGUGUAGUGGUGGUGUAGUUUAGGUGUAGUGGUGGUGUAGUGGUGGUGUAGUGGUGGUGUAGUGGUGGUGUAGUUUAGGUGUAGUGGUGUUAUAGUUUAGGUGUAGUGGUGGUGUAGUGGUGGUGUAGUUUAGGUGUAGUGGUGGUGUAGUUUAGGUGUAGUGGUGGUGUAGUUUAGGUGUAGUGGUGGUGUAGUUUAGGUGUAGU
rnacentral:lncRNA from 1 species